rnacentral:rRNA from 1 species
GCAACAAAUGCCCUGCUUCCAGGAAAAGCCUCUAAGCAUCAGGUAACAUCAAAUCGUACCCCAAACCGACACAGGUGGUCAGGUAGAGAAUACCAAGGCGCUUGAGAGAACUCGGGUGAAGGAACUAGGCAAAAUGGUGCCGUAACUUCGGGAGAAGGCACGCUGAUAUGUAGGUGAAGUCCCUCGCGGAUGGAGCUGAAAUCAGUCGAAGAUACCAGCUGGCUGCAACUGUUUAUUAAAAACACAGCACUGUGCAAACACGAAAGUGGACGUAUACGGUGUGACGCCUGCCCGGUGCCGGAAGGUUAAUUGAUGGGGUUAGCGCAAGCGAAGCUCUUGAUCGAAGCCCCGGUAAACGGCGGCCGUAACUAUAACGGUCCUAAGGUAGCGAAAUUCCUUGUCGGGUAAGUUCCGACCUGCACGAAUGGCGUAAUGAUGGCCAGGCUGUCUCCACCCGAGACUCAGUGAAAUUGAACUCGCUGUGAAGAUGCAGUGUACCCGCGGCAAGACGGAAAGACCCCGUGAACCUUUACUAUAGCUUGACACUGAACAUUGAGCCUUGAUGUGUAGGAUAGGUGGGAGGCUUUGAAGUGUGGACGCCAGUCUGCAUGGAGCCGACCUUGAAAUACCACCCUUUAAUGUUUGAUGUUCUAACGUUGACCCGUAAUCCGGGUUGCGGACAGUGUCUGGUGGGUAGUUUGACUGGGGCGGUCUCCUCCUAAAGAGUAACGGAGGAGCACGAAGGUUGGCUAAUCCUGGUCGGACAUCAGGAGGUUAGUGCAAUGGCAUAAGCCAGCUUGACUGCGAGCGUGACGGCGCGAGCAGGUGCGAAAGCAGGUCAUAGUGAUCCGGUGGUUCUGAAUGGAAGGGCCAUCGCUCAACGGAUAAAAGGUACUCCGGGGAUAACAGGCUGAUACCGCCCAAGAGUUCAUAUCGACGGCGGUGUUUGGCACCUCGAUGUCGGCUCAUCACAUCCUGGGGCUGAAGUAGGUCCCAAGGGUAUGGCUGUUCGCCAUUUAAAGUGGUACGCGAGCUGGGUUUAGAACGUCGUGAGACAGUUCGGUCCCUAUCUGCCGUGGGCGCUGGAGAACUGAGGGGGGCUGCUCCUAGUACGAGAGGACCGGAGUGGACGCAUCACUGGUGUUCGGGUUGUCAUGCCAAUGGCACUGCCCGGUAGCUAAAUGCGGAAGAGAUAAGUGCUGAAAGCAUCUAAGCACGAAACUUGCCCCGAGAUGAGUUCUCCCUGACCCUUUAAGGGUCCUGAAGGAACGUUGAAGACGACGACGUUGAUAGGCCGGGUGUGUAAGCGCAGCGAUGCGUUGAGCUAACCGGUACUAAUGAACCGUGAGGCUUAACCUU